GCCCUGGUAGCCCAACUGGCAGAGGCAACGGACUCAAACUCCGACCAGUGUGGGUUCGACUCCCACCCAGGGCACAA
rnacentral:tRNA from 1 species